AGAACUAACAGGAUUCCCCUAGUAACUGCGAGUGAAGAGGGAAAAGCUCAAAUUUAAAAUCUGACAGUCUAUGGCUGUCCGAGUUGUAAAUUAGAGAAGUGUUAUCUGCUCAAGCCUGUGCAAAAGUCUCUUGGAAAAGAGCAUCAUAGAGGGUGACAAUCCCGUCUUUGGCACAGAUUACUUGCGCUUUUGUGAUGCGCUCUCAAUGAGUCGAGUUGUUUGGGAAUGCAGCUCCAAAUGGGUGGUAAAUUCCAUCUAAAGCUAAAUAUUGGCGAGAAACCGAUAGCGCACAAGUACCGUGAGGGAAAGAUGAAAAGAACUUUGAAAAGAGAGUUAAACAGUACGUGAAAUUGUUGAAAGGGAAACGCUUGGAGUCAGUCGUAUCCUGCAAAAUCAACCUAACUUUUGGUUCGGUGUACUUUUUGUAGGAUGGGUCAGCAUCAAUUUUGAUUGUUGGAAAAAGGACUUGGGAAUGUGGCAUCUUUGGAUGUGUUAUAGCCCUUGUUUGUAUACAAUGAUUGGGAUUGAGGAACUCAGUGUGACUUUUGUUUGGGGGCAUUGCCUCACAUCAAUGCACUUAGGAUGCUGGCAUAAUGGCUUUAAUCGACCCGUCUUGAAACACGGACCAAGGAGUCUAACAUGCAUGCAAGUGUUUGGGUGGAAAACUCAAGCGCGUAAUGAAAGUGAAAGUUGAGAACCCUGUCGUGGGGUGCAUCGACGCCCGGUCUUGAUCUUUUGUGACGGACCUGCGGUAGAGCAUGUAUGUUGGGACCCGAAAGAUGGUGAACUAUGCCUGAAUAGGGUGAAGCCAGAGGAAACUCUGGUGGAAGCUCGUAGCGAUUCUGACGUGCAAAUCGAUCGUCGAAUUUGGGUAUAGGGGGCGAAAGACUAAUCGAACCAUCUAGUAGCUGGUUCCUGCC
rnacentral:rRNA from 1 species